rnacentral:rRNA from 1 species
AUUGAACGCUGGCGGCAUGCCUUACACAUGCAAGUCGGACGGCAGCAUAGGAGCUUGCUCCUGAUGGCGAGUGGCGAACGGGUGAGUAAUAUAUCGGAACGUGCCCUAGAGUGGGGGAUAACUAGUCGAAAGACUAGCUAAUACCGCAUACGAUCUACGGAUGAAAGUGGGGGAUCGCAAGACCUCAUGCUCCUGGAGCGGCCGAUAUCUGAUUAGCUAGUUGGUGGGGUAAAAGCCUACCAAGGCAACGAUCAGUAGCUGGUCUGAGAGGACGACCAGCCACACUGGGACUGAGACACGGCCCAGACUCCUACGGGAGGCAGCAGUAGGGAAUUUUGGACAAUGGGGGCAACCCUGAUCCAGCAAUGCCGCGUGAGUGAAGAAGGCCUUCGGGUUGUAAAGCUCUUUUGUCAGGGAAGAAACGGUAGUAGCGAAUAACUAUUACUAAUGACGGUACCUGAAGAAUAAGCACCGGCUAACUACGUGCCAGCAGCCGCGGUAA